CGGGACGGGGUGGAGUAACGCGUGGGUAACCUGCCUCAUACAGGGGGAUAACAGUUAGAAAUGGCUGCUAAUACCGCAUAAGCGCACGGUACUGCAUGGUACAGUGUGAAAAACUCCGGUGGUAUGAGAUGGACCCGCGUUGGAUUAGCUAGUUGGCAGGGUAACGGCCUACCAAGGCGACGAUCCAUAGCCGGCCUGAGAGGGUGGACGGCCACAUUGGGACUGAGACACGGCCCAG
rnacentral:rRNA from 1 species